CUGAUUGGGACGCAUGGGUCGACGUUCGUGCAACGAGCCCGUUCCGCUGCCUCAUUGAAUGGCAGAAGGAUGCGUUAUUGUCAG
rnacentral:ncRNA from 1 species